rnacentral:rRNA from 1 species
UACGUAGGGUGCAAGCGUUAAUCGGAAUUACUGGGCGUAAAGCGUGCGCAGGCGGUUAUGUAAGACAGAUGUGAAAUCCCCGGGCUCAACCUGGGAAUUGCAUUGGAGACUGCAAGGCUAGAAUCUGGCAGAGGGGGGGGUAGAAUUCCACGUGUAGCAGUGAAAUGCGUAGAGAUGUGGAGGAACACCGAUGGCGAAGGCAGCCCCCUGGGUCAAGAUUGACGCUCAUGCACGAAAGCGUGGGGAGCAAA